ACGCACGCCGGCGGCGUGCUUCACACCUGCACGUCGAACGGAAAGGCCCUGCUUUUGUGGGGUGCUCGAGUGGCGAACGGGUGAGUAACACGUGAGUAACCUGCCCUUGACUUUGGGAUAACUUCAGGAAACUGGGGCUAAUACCGGAUAGGAGCUCCUGCUGCAUGGUGGGGGUUGGAAAGUUUCGGCGGUUGGGGAUGGACUCGCGGCUUAUCAGCUUGUUGGUGGGGUAGUGGCUUACCAAGGCUUUGACGGGUAGCCGGCCUGAGAGGGUGACCGGCCACAUUGGGACUGAGAUACGGCCCAGACUCCUACGGGAGGCAGCAGUGGGGAAUAUUGCACAAUGGGCGGAAGCCUGAUGCAGCAACGCCGCGUGCGGGAUGACGGCCUUCGGGUUGUAAACCGCUUUCGCCUGUGACGAAGCGUGAGUGACGGUAAUGGGUAAAGAAGCACCGGCUAACUACGUG
rnacentral:rRNA from 1 species